rnacentral:rRNA from 1 species
GGGACGAACGCUGGCGGCGUGCUUAACACAUGCAAGUCGAGCGGAAAGGCCCUUCGGGGUACUCGAGCGGCGAACGGGUGAGUAACACGUGAGCAACCUGCCCCUGGCUCUGGGAUAGCCUCCGGAAACGGGGAUUAAAUACCGGAUAUUCACUGCUCCCUGCAUGGGGGGUGUGGAAAGUUUUUCGGCUAGGGUGGGGCUCGCGGCCUAUCAGCUUGUUGGGGGGGUGACGGCCCACCAAGGCGACGACGGGUAG